rnacentral:lncRNA from 1 species
GGGGAAGCGGCGGCAGGCGCCAUGUCCGGCCGCGAAGGUAAGUGUUCCGGAACCGUGAGGACUGCGGGGACGGCGGGGUGGGGACCGGGCGGCAGGGGCAGGCCGAACGUGCUCGUGUCGCCCACAGGUGGCAAGAAGAAGCCACUGAAACAGCCCAAGAAGCAGGCCAAGGAGAUGGACGAGGUGAGGGCGGGCGCGGAGGCACUGGCGGGUGCGGGGGCGCUGGGAGACAGGCCUGAGUUGAACACGCUCUGCCUCUCCCCAGGAAGAUAAGGCUUUCAAGCAGAAACAAAAAGAGGAGCAGAAGAAACUCGAGGAGCUAAAAGCGAAGGCCGCGGGGAAGGGGCCCUUGGCCACAGGUGGAAUUAAGAAAUCUGGCAAAAAGUAAGCUGUUCCUUGUGCCUGAGGAGAUGGUGACCCUUUAUUUCAUCUGUAUUUAAACCUCUCUAUUCCCUGCCAUAACAUCUUUUGCCACGUAUAGCUGGAAUUAAGUGUUGUCUUGGAGCUGUUGUACAUUUAAGAAUAAACUUUUGUAAAAAAAGAAAAAUCUUACAGUGGCUCAUCAUCUCUUUAGUUGUUUUCACUAAGUCGUUCCUACCAUAACUGUGAAUUUAAAGUAAAACCAGCUCAGAAUC